GAUGAACGCUAGCGGCAGACCUAACACAUGCAAGUCGAGGGGUAUGGCAGCAAUGCCAGAGACCGGCGCACGGGUGCGUAACGCGUAUGCAAUCUACCUUUUACAGAGGGAUAGCCCAGAGAAAUUUGGAUUAAUACCUCAUAGUAUAUUUUAGUGGCAUCACUAGAUUAUUAAAGUUCCAACGGUAAAAGAUGAGCAUGCGUCCUAUUAGCUGGAUGGUAAGGUAACGGCUUACCAUGGCUACGAUAGGUAGGGGUCCUGAGAGGGAGAUCCCCCACACUGGUACUGAGACACGGACCAGACUCCUACGGGAGGCAGCAGUGAGGAAUAUUGGACAAUGGGCGCAAGCCUGAUCCAGCCAUGCCGCGUGCAGGAAGACGGUCCUAUGGAUUGUAAACUGCUUUUGUACGGGAAGAAACACUCCUACGUGUAGGAGCUUGACGGUACCGUAAGAAUAAGGAUCGGCUAACUCCGUGCCAGCCGCCGCAGUAAAAC
rnacentral:rRNA from 1 species